AACGAACGUUGGCGGCGUGGAUUAGGCAUGCAAGCCGAGGGAAUGCCCGCAAGGGCGGAACCGGCGUAAGGGGCAGUAAGGCGUGGGUAACCUACCCCGGGGUUUGGCAUAGCCCGUAGAGAUACGGGGUAAUUCCAAGCGACGUGGCGAGGGGGCAUCUCCUUGUCACCAAGGCUCCGGCGCCCCGGGAGGGGCCCACGUGGUAUUAGCUAGUUGGUGGGGUAACGGCCCACCAAGGCUGAGAUGCCUAGCGGGUGUGAGAGCACGACCCGCGCCACUGGCACUGAGACACUGGCCAGACACCUACGGGUGGCUGCAGUCGAGGAUCUUCGGCAAUGGGCGCAAGCCUGACCGAGCGACGCCGCGUGUGCGAUGAAGGCCUUCGGGUUGUAAAGCACUGUCGAGGGGGAGAAAAGCCCGCAAGGGUUUGAUCUAUCCCUGGAGGAAGCACGGGCUAAGUUCGUGCCAGCCGCCGCGGUAAUAC
rnacentral:rRNA from 1 species